rnacentral:rRNA from 1 species
GACGAACGCUGGCGGCGUGCUUAAUACAUGCAAGUCAACUGAACUUGAGGUAGCAAUAUCACAAGAGAGGUGGCGCACGGGUGAGUAACACGUAGGUAAUCUGCCUUUAGGUCUGACAUAAUUCCGCGAAAGCGGGACUAAUAUCAGAUGAUGCAGCGGCUCGACAUCGAGACAGUUGUUAAACCUUCGGGGCCGUAAAGAUGAGCCUGCGUCUGAUUAGGUAGUUGGCGGAGUAAAAGCCCACCAAGCCUGCGAUCAGUAGCUGGUCUGAGAGGAUGAUCAGCCACACUGGAACUGAGACACGGUCCAGACUCCGUACGGGAGGCAGCAGUAAGGAAUAUUGCUCAAUGGCCGAAAGGCUGAAGCAGCAACGCCGCGUGGAGGAU